rnacentral:rRNA from 1 species
GCAAGUCGAACGGGCUUUAAUUAGCAUGCUAAUUAAUGAGAGUGGCGCACGGGGGAGUAACGCGUAUACAACCUACCUUAUACAGAGGGAUAGCCCAGAGAAAUUUGGAUUAAUACCUCAUAGCAUUAUCGAUUCGCAUGUUUUGAUAAUUAAAACUCCGGUGGUAUAAGAUGGGUAUGCGUGACAUUAGCUAGUUGGUGUAGUAACGGUGCACCAAGGCCACGAUGUCUAGGGGGUCUGAGAGGAUGGGC